CCCAUCUCUACGGAACAACUCCGGGAAACUGGAGCUAAUACCGUAUACGUCCUUUUGGAGAAAGAUUUAUCGGAGAUGGAUGAGCCCGCGUUGGAUUAGCUAGUUGGUGGGGUAAUGGCCUACCAAGGCGACGAUCCAUAGCUGGUCUGAGAGGAUGAUCAGCCACACUGGGACUGAGACACGGCCCAGACUCCUACGGGAGGCAGCAGUGGGGAAUAUUGGACAAUGGGCGCAAGCCUGAUCCAGCCAUGCCGCGUGAGUGAUGAAGGCCCUAGGGUUGUAAAGCUCUUUCAACGGUGAAGAUAAUGACGGUAACCGUAAAAGAAGCCCCGGCUAACUUCGUGCCAGCAGCCGCGGUAAUACGAAGGGGGCUAGCGUUGUUCGGAAUUACUGGGCGUAAAGCGCACGUAGGCGGAUACUUAAGUCAGGGGUGAAAUCCCGGGGCUCAACCCCGGAACUGCCUUUGAUACUGGGUAUCUCGAGUCCGGAAGAGGUGAGUGGAAUUCCGAGU
rnacentral:rRNA from 1 species